rnacentral:rRNA from 1 species
AUUAAACGCUGGCGGCAUGCCUUACACAUGCAAGUCGAACGGCAGCACGGGGGCAACCCUGGUGGCGAGUGGCGAACGGAUGAGUAAAGCAUCGGAACGUGCCCUGGAGUGGGGGGAUAACGUAGCGAAAGUUACGCUAAUACCGCAUAUUCUGUGAGCAGGAAAGCAGGGGAUCGCAAGACCUUGCGCUCUGGGAGCGGCCGAUGUCGGAUUAGCUAGUUGGUGGGGUAAAGGCCUACCAAGGCGACGAUCCGUAGCGGGUCUGAGAGGAUGAUCCGCCACACUGGGACUGAGACACGGCCCAGACUCCUACGGGAGGCAGCAGUGGGGAAUUUUGGACAAUGGGCGAAAGCCUGAUCCAGCCAUGCCGCGUGAGUGAAGAAGGCCUUC